UACAGAGGGUGCGAGCGUUGUUCGGAAUUAUUGGGCGUAAAGAGCUUGUAGGCGGUUUGUCGCGUCUGCUGUGAAAUUUCGGGGCUCAACCCCGAACUUGCAGUGGGUACGGGCAGACUAGAGUGUGGUAGGGGAGACUGGAAUUCCUGGUGUAGCGGUGAAAUGCGCAGAUAUCAGGAGGAACACCGGUGGCGAAGGCGGGUCUCUGGGCCGAUACUGACGCUGAGGAGCGAAAGCGUGGGGAGCGAACAGG
rnacentral:rRNA from 1 species